UACAGAGGGGGCAAGCGUUGUCCGGACUUACUGGGCGUAAAGGGUGCGCAGGCGGUCUGAUGCGUCGUCGCUGAAAGCUCUCGGCUCAACUGAGGACGUGCAUCCGAAACUACUGUGCUCGAGUAUGGAAGAGGGUCGCGGAAUUCUCGGUGUAGAGGUGAAAUUCGUAGAUAUCGGGAGGAACACCUGUGGCGAAAGCGGCGCACUGGACCACAACUGACGCUGAGGCGCGAAAGCUAGGGGAGCAAACAGG
rnacentral:rRNA from 1 species